rnacentral:rRNA from 1 species
AUUGAACGCUGGCGGCAUGCUUUACACAUGCAAGUCGGACGGCAGCGGGGUAGUGCUUGCACUACUGCCGGCGAGUGGCGAACGGGUGAGUAACAUAUCGGAACGUACCGAGCAGUGGGGGAUAACUAAUCGAAAGAUUAGCUAAUACCGCAUAUAUUCUGAGGAAGAAAGCAGGGGACCUUUGGGCCUUGCGCCGUUUGAGCGGCCGAUAUCUGAUUAGCUGGUUGGUGGGGUAAAGGCCUACCAAGGCGACGAUCAGUAGCGGGUCUGAGAGGAUGAUCCGCCACACUGGGACUGAGACACGGCCCAGACUCCUACGGGAGGCAGCAGUGGGGAAUUUUGGACAAUGGGGGCAACCCUGAUCCAGCCAUGCCGCGUGUCUGAAGAAGGCCUUCGGGUUGUAAAGGACUUUUGUCCGGGAAGAAAAGCGCGAUGUUAAUACCAUUGCGUGCUGACGGUACCGGAAGAAUAAGCACCGGU